AGAGGCUCCAUCCAGUGUCUCCCAGAAAAUGCAAUAUAGUCCAAGAAAGCCUUUAAACAGAGCACCUCCCGGACCUAGAGUAAAGAUCGGAAUGUUGUAACUCUAACAGAAAAGCUUUAUCAGAAAGUGGCCAAAAACCUGCCUGACAAGAGAAGCCAAAUUCAGAAGGGAAGCUAAAUCAUGAGUAGCCUAAUUGUAGAGCAGAACAGUGUCCCAGCAAUCAAGGCGACCAUGGCGAUGAAGGCGAUUUCUCGGUAGCUGUCCAAUCGAUUCAGCCCAAGUACCCUGGCGCUUCGGAAAAGGCCACGUUUAACACGCUAACAUCUUUAAAGGAUCUCCAUGGGUCGCUGAAGGGCUGCCGACGAUCCAGAUGCCAAAAUGCCAAAAGCAUGCCCUGGCUUGGAUGUCUUUGCGUGAGAAUUAGAGUCCACCUGGCGGCAUUUUGGCCGAUGAUAUGGGCUUAAGCAAGACCCUGAAAAUAAUUUCAGGAGAGCAAAGUGAAGGAGAGAACGAUACAAACGGAAAAGCACUGGUGGAUGGAAUUGGAAGCUCAUCUUGGUGGCACCUUAGUCGUGUGCCAGGCUAGCUUGCUGCGCCAGUGAGAGGCAAAUGGUCAUCAUGGCAACAAGCACUAGACAAAGGCCAAAGAAGUCAGGUAAUCGACGUUAAAGACUACAAGAAACAAGAGCAACAGGACCAUCCGCAGCUGAAAAUAAAAUUAAACUGUUUGCCCUGCAAGGAGUUGGGUAUAAUUGAGAUUUCCCUUAUCUUUUUGGUUCACAAUGAUAAAAUUAGCUUAAAGUAUUUGGUUUUAAGCAUUAUAUGUAUAUCUGCUCCUUUUCCCACAGCCAUAAUAUUUACGCGCCAAAUUUUAUUUUUAAUCUAGGUUUCGCUGUUUGCUGGCGAUAGUUUACACAACAGGGAAGAAAUAUUCGGAAAGUCGAUUUUGAUUAUGAGUUGGGCGGUAUUUUAGAUAGAUAUGUCCGCGGUCCCACUGAUUUUCUUGCCAGUUUGGACACCAUGUCUAGUUUAUACUUAUACUUUUCAUAGUAUUUUCUAAAAUUUUCCAGUAUAUUUGAAGACGCGUUUUGGCCACAUUCUCUUUUUCAAUGCACCAAUGUAGAAACACCAACCAUACAGUAUAUACUGUAUGGGUAGUGGUAGAAAUCAUGUAGAAAUGCUGAGGGUAUAUAAUGGUAUAUUUUGCCAGUUUCAUCAAUCUAUUAAAUUUAAAUUAAGCCAAUCAAGUGGAAAAAAGAACUCUAUAUAGCUUGUAAUAUUCGACGGACCCGGUUCACAACAAAUGAGUCCGAUUCCAUGUUCACAUAACCUGGGGGGAAAUGGAUGUUAUAGAACUAUAGAAUUAUUCAAGGGAAUGUAAAAAUUGAACAAUAUGAACGAUUCUCUUUCGCUUUUUCGUGUGACCUAUAUCGCUUAA